UACGUAGGGGGCAAGCGUUGUUCGGAAUCAUUGGGCGUAAAGAGCGUGUAGGCGGCCCGAUAAGUCCGCCGUGAAAGUCCAGGGCUCAACCCUGGAAUGCCGGUGGAAACUGUCGGGCUGGAGUCCGGAAGAGGCGAGUGGGAUUCCUGGUGUAGCGGUGAAAUGCGCAGAUAUCAGGAGGAACACCAAUGGCGAAGGCAGCUCGCUGGGACGGUACUGACGCUGGAGACGCGAAAGCGUGGGGAGCAAACAGG
rnacentral:rRNA from 1 species